UACAGAGGUCUCAAGCGUUGUUCGGAUUCAUUGGGCGUAAAGGGUGCGUAGGCGGCGCGGUAAGUCGGGUGUGAAAUCUUGGAGCUUAACUCCGAAACUGCAUUCGAUACUGCCGUGCUUGAGGACUGGAGAGGAGACUGGAAUUUACGGUGUAGCGGUGAAAUGCGUAGAUAUCGUGAAGGAAGACCAGUGGCGAAGGCGGGUCUCUGGACAGUUCCUGACACUGAGGCACGAAGGCCAGGGGAGCAAAACGGG
rnacentral:rRNA from 1 species